AAAAAAUCACAAGGCUACUUUAAUGAUAAAUAAAUAAUAAAAAAAAUUAAGUUGUUUUAUGCAUUCAAAUAAUUAGACAUGCUAAAACACAGAAUCUGGUAACAAUAAAAAAUAUGGUGAGAAAAAAAUAAACAUUUCAUAGGGCCCUAAAACGUAAUUUUUGUUAAACUUUUAUUAAAUGAAUGUGAAAAUGUACACAUUUCAUGGUUUUAAUUAAUAAGAAAUGCUUUUUUGAUUAAUAAACAGUAAUUUAACUAUUAAAAAGGAGUUGAGAAAAAUUAAAACAGAAAAAAUGGAAUUUGGAAAAAAAUUCAACGGUAUUUAGGAAAACAUAAACUGGAUUUCAUAGGGCCCUAUAUUUAAAAUGCUAGAAAAGAGAGAGUCCAUAGUUUCUGUUACAUCAUCAAAUUGUUCUUAGGUUUUGGAUAUGCGAAGGAAUUGAGAUAAAUCUGGAAGAUUACUUACAAAGCAGUCUUUUGCGGUAAAGUGAUGGUUCUACCAUACUUGUAACAAGAAGUAGAAUUUACAGUUUUAGCUAUAUGAAGUUUGUAUAACCCCAGUAGAGUUAUAAAUGCUGAUCCCAAUGCAUCUUUUUCAUUAUCAACAUGGAUAUUAAAAUCACCAACAAUUAAAACUUUAUCUGCGGCCAGCACUAACUCAGAUAUAAAAUCAGCAAACUCUUUAAUAAAGUCUGUAUGGUGCCCUGGUGGCCUGUAUACAGUAGCCAGUACAAACAUCACAGGGGAUUUAUCAUUAACAUUUGUUUCUCUGGAUAAUGUUAUAUGAAGCACCACUACUUCAAAUGAGUUAUACCUGAAGCCCGUCCUCUGAGAAAUACUGAAAACAUUGUUAUAAAUUGAAGCAACACCUCCCCCUUUACCUUUUGGACACGGCUCAUGUUUAUAACAAUAAUCUUGGGUUGUAGACUCAUUUAAAAUAAUGCAAUCCUCGGGUUUAACCAGGUUUCUGUCAAACAGAGCACAUCUAGGUUAUGAUCAGUGAUCAUAUUAUUUACAAAAAGUGCUUUUGUAGAAAGGGACCUGAUAUUCAAUAAGCCAAGCGAUUUGUUUAAUCGUAUUGCAUCUGUUUUUUAUUUGUUGAACCUCAGUUAAAUUGUUACUCUUAAAUUGGUUUGGACGUUUUUUGUAUUUUCUAGUUCGGGGAACAGACACAGUCUCUGAAUAAUGUGACAUCGGAGAGCUAACACAGCCAUAUAACAAGGUGAACAAAUUACUGGUCCGCAUUUAAGAUGUAAUUUAAAGCAAUAGUUCACCCAAAAUUGAAAACUUGCUGAAAAAAAUCACUCACCCUCAGGUCAUCCAAGAAAGAGUUGAGUUUGUUUCUUCGUCAAAAUAAAUAUGGAGAAAUUUAGCAUCACAUCACUAGCUUACCAAAGGAUCCUCUGCAGUGAAGGGGAUCCACUGGUGAGCAAGUGACGUUAUGCUAAAUUUCUACAAAAACUGUUCUGAUGAUGAAACAAACUCAUCUAGA
ensembl:lncRNA